GACGAACGCUGGCGGCGUGCCUAACACAUGCAAGUUGAGCGACGAACCAGGGCUUGCCCUGGGGCAAAGCAGCGAACGGGUGAGUAACACGUGGGUAACCUACCCCGAUAACCGGGACAACCCGAGGAAACUCGGGCUAAUACCGGAUGUGCUCACUGAACUUCGGUUCAGUGCGUAAAGGAAGCUACGGCCUCCGUAUCGGGAGGGGCCCGCGGCCCAUUAGCUAGUUGGUGAGGUAACGGCUCACCAAGGCCGCGAUGGGUAGCUGGUCUGGGAGGACGAUCAGCCACACUGGGACUGAGACACGGCCCAGACUCCUACGGGAGGCAGCAGUGGGGAAUCUUGCGCAAUGCGCAAAAGCGUGACGCAGCAACGCCGCGUGGGGGAAGAAGGCCUUCGGGUUGUAAACCCCUUUCAGGAGGGACGAAGGUUCGGCGGUGAAUAGCCGUCCGGACUGACGGUACCUCCACAAGAAGCCCCGGCUAACUACGUGCCAGCAGCCGCAGUAA
rnacentral:rRNA from 1 species